UACGAAGGGGGCUAGCGUUGCUCGGAAUCACUGGGCGUAAAGGGCGCGUAGGCGGACUUUUUAAGUCAGGGGUGAAAUCCUGAGGCUCAACCUCAGAACUGCCUUUGAUACUGAGGGUCUCGAGACCGGUAGAGGUAAGUGGAACUGCGAGUGUAGAGGUGAAAUUCGUAGAUAUUCGCAAGAACACCAGUGGCGAAGGCGGCUUACUGGACCGGUUCUGACGCUGAGGCGCGAAAAGCGUGGGGGAGCAAACAGG
rnacentral:rRNA from 1 species